ensembl:lncRNA
AGAAACCUCAGAAAGAAGAAAAAGACCUAUAGAAUAGAAAUAUCAACAUAAUUCAUUGAAGGAUGUAGUGGAACCUUUGUAAGCACCAAGUACUCUGCUGCGGCUCCAGACAAAAGGAGCCCUUCUGCCUGACCUGAGAUCAUUGCUGCAGAGCGCGUCUCCUUGAGAACCAGCUUGGAGGAAACAGAGCUGCCACCCGCAAGUCCAGAGACAAACCCCUCUGAGGUCCACCAAAACACGUUCUCCUACAACCGCUGCCCGACCUCCAUUGAUUAUUGAUGUUCAUGACAGGGGAGAUGUCAUCGAUGGGCAAUGAUCAAGAACCCACCAGAGAAGCAGACUGUGCUGCUGCUCAUGCUUCUCUUCCUCUUCAACUUGCGGUAUUGUUGUUGUGUCAAAAGACGACAAGCACAAAGAGACGAGAGGGCGUCACUUCUGGCUCUCAAACGUUCAGCUGCUGCUGUGAAUGUGGAAUGUUUUUUCAUUUAGUUUAAUUUAAUUUAACAAUGUAAUGUUUUGGGGGAAAUGAAACAUGUGGUGUUGUACUUCAUCAUCUACUUGUACAAAUCCGCAAAUAGAUAUUUAAACUGCAAAACUACCCACAAUAUUACCCACAAUAAGUAAAUAAAUAAAAUUAAACCCAAAGGCAGUGGUACUAAGUAUGAAAAGGAAAGUGUGCUCAACAUUGGCAUUUUUUUGUAAAUAGGAGAAUAAUCCACUGGCAUGUGAAGGCCGAACUACUGCAUACAACUGUACACAGAACUAUGCAGGCCAGCAGUCUCUUAGUAUUUUGGGAAAGAUAAAAUAACUGAAAUAUAUAUUUGUAUACAUCUUAUAUACCUCUAGAAGACUAAAAAAACAUAAUAGGCCAGUUUGCAGUGCCUGAACAUAAAGGUCUAAGAAUUGUCCAAUUAUUUCACAUAACACCACAAAUUAACGCGCUGUGUAAUAUUAUUGAUCUUUUCUAGCAUUCCUGUUAUGUUUUUGUGUUUAUUAACCGAAAAUAUUUGUUGUCUCUUCUCUCAUCUUUUUCUGCUUCUAGCUCUGCCGCCAAAAGCUCUUUCUACCAAUCCAGAAUUGAAUCUUCAUUUUCUAACCCUAAAAAACUCUUUUUGAUUUUCUCCAACCUCCUCGAACCCCCUAGCCCUCGUCCCCCCUCCACCCUUCUUCCGGUUGACUUUGUCAACUACUUUACCAAGAAAAUAGCUGACAUACGCUCCUCUUUCUCAAACCCACCUACUACUACUUGCGUCCCACUGACUUCACCUCAAUCACCCUCACUUUCCUCUUCCACCCCCCUGUCUCCUAACCAAAAUCUUACCCAAGUAACCUCUGCCCAUUCUCUGAAGGAGGCAAGAGUUAACCCUCUCCUGAAGAAACCUACCCUCACCCUUCUGAAGAAAACAACUACAGACCGGUCUCUCUUUUUGUCCAAAACCCUUGAACGUGCAAUCUUUAACCAACUCUCCUCCUAUCUCCACCAUAACAACCUCCUUGACCCCCACCAGUCAGGCAUCAAGGCAGGCCAAUCCACAGAGACUGCUCUCCUUGCUGUCUCAGAGCAACUCCACACUGCUAGAGCCGCCUCUCUCUCCCCUCGGUCCUCAUCCUUCUGGAACUCUCUGCUGCAUCUUUGACCUUAGUCUCCGUCUUGGAAGGGCUCCUACACUCUGGAAGACAUCAUGCCUUGUCCCUGUCCCCAAGAAGCCCCACCCAACUGAACUCAACGACUUCCGCCCGGUAGCCCUCACGUCACACAUAAUGAAAACCAUGGAGAGACUGCUAGUGCACAUACUCAGACCUCAUGUACGACACGCAUUGGACCCACUGCAGUUCGCAUACCAGGAGAAGGUAGGAGUGGACGAUGCGAUCACAUACCUGCUGCAUAGGACGCAUACUCACCUGGACAAGGGAGAAAGUGCUGUGAGAAUCAUGUUAUUUGAUUUCUCCAGUGCUUUCAAUACCAUCCAACCCCUCAGACUAGGAGACAAGCUCAUGCAGAUGGCCGUGGACGAUCCCCUCGUAUCAUGGAAUACCAACUACCUGACAGGGUGGCCACAGUUUGUCAGACUGAAGGACUGCCUGUCUGACACUGUGGUCUGCAGCACCGGAGCACCACAGGGAACUGUGCUCUCUCCUGCUCUGUUCACCCUGUACACUUCUGACUUCUGUUACAAUACAGAGUUUUGCCACAUGCAGAAGUUUUCAGACGACACUGCAAUUGUGGGGUGUAUCAGGGAUGGCCAGGGAGGGGAGUAUGUGAGCCUGGUGGAGGACUUUGUGCAAUGGUGCAAGCACAACCACUUACAACUGAACACUGCUAAGACCAAGGAAAUGGGGUGUUAUUUUCGCAGGUCUAAGCCCACCAUGCUACCAGUUUCCAUUGUGGGGGUCAAUGUGGAGGUGGUAGGCACAUACAAGUAUCUUGGGGUGAUUCUGGACAAUAAACUGGAUUGGUCUGUCAACACUGACAGCGCUCGCUGCCAUGUUGGCCCUUUGCACAACCCCCCCCCUUUUUUU